GCCCGGAUGGUGGAAUCGGUAGACACAAGGGAUUUAAAAUCCCUCGGCGUUCACGCUGUGCGGGUUCAAGUCCCGCUCCGGGUACCA
rnacentral:tRNA from 2 species